GAUGAACGCUGGCGGCGUGCUUAACACAUGCAAGUCGAGCGGAAAGACCCGGCUUUUGCGGGGUGCUCGAGUGGCGAACGGGUGAGAAACACGUGAGUAACCCGCCCUUGACGUGGUGAUAACUGCAGGAGACAGCGGAUAAUACCGGAUAGGAGCUCCUGCAGCAUGGUGGGGGUUGGAAAGUUUCGGCUGUGGGGGAUGGACUCGCGGCUUAUCAGCUUGUUGGGGGGGUAGUUGCUUACCCAGGCUUCGACGGGUAGCCGGCCUGUGAGAGUGACCCGCCACCUUGGGUCCUAGGUGCGGCCCCGGCUGCUACUCGUGGCCGCUGUGCGGAAUACUGCACCAGCGGCGCAAGCCUGAUGCAGAAGCUCCGCGUGCGGGAAGACGGCCUUCGUGUUGUAGAACGCUUUCGCCUGUGACGAUGCGUGAGUUGCGGUAACGGGUAGAGAAGCCCCCGCUUACCUCGUU
rnacentral:rRNA from 1 species